GCACAACAAUCUCUUAUACUUUCUUAAUAAUAAUAACUAAAUCGCAACCUUAUAAUUUUUUAAACUUUGAGAGUCUUAACACAUGUGUAGACCCCCUCUUCCGGGGAGGAGUUUUUGGGGUGAUUUUUCUAUCAUGAUUACCCUUCUGACCACCCCGAGAUUUAAGCUGAUGGGGGCGGCCAGAUUAGAGAGGAGCAGAGAGUAGGUGAGGGCUGUAGGAAAAAAGAAAGGCGGGAAAGGAAAGACAGCUAAGGGGAAGGGAUUGGAAAGAAAGAAAGGGCAGAGCAGAGGAAGAGGGGAGGGACUCAUACAUUUUUCCGAUUGGUUCCCGCUAGGAGAGAGCUCUUCCAGGUGGAAAUGGCAGCCUCUGGAAUUUAGAAUCGCUGAGAUAAACGCAAGGUUUCCGUUAACAGGUCACAUCAUAUCUCAUAAAUGUCUCAUCUUUUUCUACCGUCUUCGUUGCUACAGCUGUUUCCACUGAUUGUGUGGUUAAUAACGGGAAGCCCUUUUCUGCACUGCAUAUACAUGGGUCCCACACAAUAAAUAAUAAUAAUAAAAGGGGAUUCGUGCAGAGGGAAUCCAACGCUGAAGAUUUUUGUCUUUGUUUGAAAAUGCAAGCAUGAGAGGGUCUUGUUACUCUGUUUACAUUUCGCACUCAAUCUCAUUGAAUAGUGAAUACCACCAAGUCUGAUAUUUUGCUCUAA